AAAAAGAUAAGCUAAUAAAGCUCAUAGGUUCAUACCCUAUUAAUAAAGGUUUUAAUCCUUUUCUUUUUA
rnacentral:tRNA from 1 species